rnacentral:lncRNA from 1 species
AUGGCCAGCUCAUGUCAACAAUACACAUUUGCUCAGGACUUCAUUCACUCAGGGCUUCUUUGGCUCCCCACAGCAGAAGUUUCCUGCUUACCCUCUGACACUUCUAAUAACUCCAUAAGAAGAUACACUGACCACUCAUCAUCAGAAAAUGAGAGACAUUUGGAGAAUAGCCAUGCCAGUAGAGCCCAGACUGAACUGCCAAGCCUUCAGAUGACCAACAGCCAGAUGAGGUGGUCAUAUCCAAAUCAGGCUUUAGCUGACCAGCUACCAAACAAAAGCUGCUACAAGCCAGCAAGCACACGUGCGAGGACUCUCACAUGGAGGGUGGCCGGCACCUCCUGCAUCACCCCCCACACUCUCAGUUGCAGGACCAAGGCCAGCCGAAUCUACUGGGAAAUAGAGCACAGGUCUUCCAUGAGCUGGCAGAGCACCAGAAGUGCUGGGAAAGUGCCUGUGUAAAUCACAGGACACUCCUGAAGAAAGGGAAAGAAGCUACAUUGCAGAGGAGAGGAUUAAUUAGGUCAAUGGUCACCACCUCAACUCCGAAUUGCAGUUCAUCGCUGAUUGAAGGCGUUAUACAAGCCCCUUUCUGUUUUAGCACCUCACGGCAUGUUAAAAAUCAAAUAUUGCAAGAAAAGAUUGGAAUCGUUUCUCAGCCUUCUGACUAAAACCAAAUGUAAUGGGAUUGUAAAAAUUGUGACACACGUGUAUUCAAUAUGUUCAAUAUUUUAAUGCAAAGUACAUACUAUCUGUACGUUGAGCUGCAUGUGAUCAUGCAGCUGGUGCACGAGGACUGAGCCAAAUGAUCUUUCUUCGCUUCUCCCCUAACUCAUCCAAAGAGCAUCCUCCUUUCUCCCUCAUUUUCCUAUCCCAAGCCAACCACAACAUUACAUGGAAUCCAUGCGAUGUAUAUAAUUGCUCUUUAAUGUUUCUUGAGUGCCCUUACCUGAAAAGAUUGGGAUCAGCAGUGUUUGAUUUAAUGUUUCAUCUUCGAUAUGUUUUCAAAAUCAUAAUGGGACAUAUUAAGGUUUAGGAAUUCAUUUUCCAUAUGGGGUAGUUUUUUUAUAUGAAAUAAGGUAUAUUAGACAUGGCAUCUCAGGGUGAAUAUGAAACUUGAGUAUUUUGCAUAUAAACUUCUGUACAAAGCCUGCAGGUAAUGUUAUACAAAAUUUUAAUGCCUCUCCUUUUUAAGUGGGAUUGGCCAUAUGAGGUCAAGUUCUCAUGUUCUCUUUGUGGUGUCAGGUUCAGAUUUGGGAGGAUUUCCUAUUUAGGAUGUUUCAGGUUCAGGAAGCCAAACCUAUAAUUACUGCACACAGUGGUCACCCACUAAAUUCUGAUCACCUCCAGAUAGGUAGGAGUGUGUGUGUGUGUGUGUGUGUGUGUGUGUGUGUGUGUGUGUGUUGUUUAUAUAUGUGGGAAGAAGUGUGUGGGAAGUCAGAAAAGAGAGUUGAAUCCCAUGAGCUAUAAUUACAGGUAGUUGUGAUAUGCCCAAUGUGGAUGCUAGGAACUGAACUUGAGUUGUCUAAAAGAGGAGUCAGUACUCUUACCUACUGAUCCAUUUCUACAGACCUGACCCAAACAAAGUUUUAAAAAACUUUUUUGAUGAUGCUAUAUUCCUUUUAUGUUUUAUAUCGUCAUUGAUUUUCAGCACCAUUGAAACUCUAAUUCAUGAUUUUAUGACUCACAUCCCAGGACAACUUAAAUAGGCUAAGUGAGAAAAAAAAUAAUUAAACAAAUAGUAUUUGAAAAACUUUUUUUCUGACCAUUUUAACUAUGUAAGAACCUCAUAAGGAUGACCAGGGAAGGGCUCUCUAGGGAAGCAACCUUUGAGAGGAGGACUGAAUAAAAUGAGAGACUGAAGUACA